rnacentral:tRNA from 1 species
GGCGCUGUAGUGUAGCGGUUAUCACUCGAGAUUCUGAUAUUGUCUGUCACGAGAUAAUUUCUCGUAACCCAGGUUCGAUUCCUGGCAGUGCCU